ACUGCACGAAAGUGUGAUAAGGGAAUCCUAAGUGCUCAUGCUUUGCAUGGGCUUUUGUCAAGAGUAAAUAUCUUGGCGAAUAAGUGGUGGGUAAGACUGGUGCCAGCCGCCGCGGUAACACCAGCGCCACAAGUGGUGACCAGCAUUAUUGGGCCUAAAGCGUCCGUAGCAGGAAAAACAAAUCUCUUGUGAAACUGUUCAGCUCAACUGAACAACGUGCAGAAGACACUAUUUUUCUAGAGACCGGGAGGAGUCAGAGGUAUUUUUGGGGGAGCGGUAAAAUGCUAUAAUCCCAAGAGGACCACCGAUGGCGAAGGCAUCUGACUAGAACGGAUCUGACUGUGAGGGACGAAGGCCAGGGGAGCGAACCGGAUUAGAUACCCGAGUAGUCCUGGCAGUAAACGCUGCGAGCUAGGUGUUGCAUAAUCCACGGAUUGUGCAGUGUCGAAAUGAAGAUGUUAAGCUCGCCGCCUGGGAAGUACGGUCGCAAGACUGAAACU
rnacentral:rRNA from 1 species